GACGAACGCUGGCGGCGUGCCUAAUACAUGCAAGUCGAGCGGAACUGGGGGAGCUUGCUCCUUCCAGUUUAGCGGCGGACGGGUGAGUAACACGUGGGCAACCUGCCCUGCAGAUCGGGAUAACUCCGGGAAACCGGUGCUAAUACCGAAUAGUUUGGCGCCUCUCCUGAGGCGCUACGGAAAGACGGUUUCGGCUGUCACUGCAGGCUGGGCCCGCGGCGCAUUAGCUAGUUGGUGGGGUAACGGCCCAACAAGGCGACGAUGCGUAGCCGACCUGAGAGGGUGACCGGCCACACUGGGACUGAGACACGGCCCAGACUCCUACGGGAGGCAGCAGUAGGGAAUCUUCCGCAAUGGACGCAAGUCUGACGGAGCAACGCCGCGUGAGUGACGAAGGUUUUCGGAUCGUAAAACUCUGUUGUGAGGGAAGAACACGUACCAACUAACUAUUGGUACCUUGACGGUACCUCACCAGAAAGCCACGGCUAACUACGUGCCAGCCGCCGCAGUAA
rnacentral:rRNA from 1 species